UGACUCUUCAAAGGUCUUGGAAUAAGGGGUGGGUAAGGACGGUGCCAGCCGCCGCGGUAAUACCGGCGCCUCAAGUGGUAGUCGCUUUUAUUGGGCCUAAAACGUCCGUAGCCGGUUUGGUACAUUCGUGGGUAAAUCAAGGCGCUCAACGUCUUGAAUUCUGCGAGCACGGCCAGACUUGGGACCGGGUGAGGUGUGGGGUACUCUCAGGGUAGGGGUAAAAUCCUGUCAUCCUGAGAGGACCACCUGUUGCGAAGGCGCCACACUAAAACGGAUCCGACGGUCAGGGACGAAGCCUAGGGGCACGAACCGGAUUAAAUACCCGGGUAGUCCUAGGUGUAAACGCUGUGGACUUGAUGUUGGGAGUGCUCCGAGCACCCUCAGUGUCGAAGCGAAGGUGAUAAGUCCACUGCCUGGGGAGUACGGUCGCAAGGCUGAAACUUAAAGGAAUUGGCG
rnacentral:rRNA from 1 species